ACCAUGCUUGAUUGUAUGUGGAACCUCCUGUUAUACUUCCAAGAAUUUUAUGCUUGGCAUUGACGGCAAUGUUGUGAAUGACCAAAUACCAACCUUCACAUCCGCUAUAUGUCUAAUGUUAGCAAGUUACUUUUGCUUCAACAUUCAUUAUCCGACUCAUCUGGCCUCCACACUUGAUUCAUUCAGAGGUGCUUCCUAAACAUCAAUCCAGACCGGGGGACAAAAGUUGAAACCAAGAAGAAUAAGAAGAACGUGUCAGUGAACCCAAGGGUCCUUACCCUAAUCUCUGAAAUCGCAGAUCAUGAAUGGAGAGGGACAUAUUAAAAUGGACAUAAUAGUCCAGCAGAAAAUGUAAAUUCUGAUUUCUUACACACCACUUAUAGAGCAGAAUACAAAUUUCACUGCAAGAAUAUGGUUUGCAAUCUGGAUGGAUAGAAUUUACAUUUAGUUUUCAUAUUUCUUAGUUUUUAGGAUCUAUUGAAUUUAUUUAACAGGCUUGCUGUAUGUUUUGCGGUAAUUAUAAAUGCCUGAAUAUGUAGACAAGUUCAAGACAACAGCUACUUUUGUUUCCAUCAUUGUGAGAGGCUGUUCCUUUAGUUCAGUAAAAUGAGAGAAGAGUGACUUGUAUUAUUUAUUUUAAAAUUGUAGAUUCAUUUAAUUUAGAUGCUCCAUUAAUAUCUCAGCCAGGACUGCAACUAAUGAUUCUUUUGGCUAUCAAUAAAUAUGACAAUCAUUGAAACCCAUA